GCUGGAUUCGCUAGUAAUCGCGCAUCAGCCACGGCGCGGUGAAUACGUUCCCGGGCCUUGUACACACCGCCCGUCACACCAUGAGAGUUGGGGAUACCCGAAGCCUGUGAGCUAACUAUUUAUAGGAGCAGCAGUCGAAGGUAGAAUCAAUGAUUGGGGUGAAGUCGUAACAAGGUAAC
rnacentral:rRNA from 1 species